rnacentral:sRNA from 1 species
GAGCAGGAAUUCGUUUAGGCUCUUCCCUC